rnacentral:lncRNA from 1 species
AAGGACCUUUAUGUUGUGGCAACAUACAGCUGCAUGUAGCUUCUGCUACUAUCAGUGGGAUUGUUGUCCCAGUGUUUUCAUUUAUUCAUUCAUUCCUCUUUUAAGGAAUGCCUUCUAUAUGCUGUCUGUGUGCUGGAGAUAUAGAGGGAAUAAGACAUGGACCCCCCGCCCCCAACUCAGGGAGUUCACAGUAGAUGCAUUUAGUCUAAUAGUUCAGUCUUGAGAAGUCCCAAGAUGAAACCGUAGUAAGUUCACUUUGUAAGUGCUAAGUGAGGUGUGCAUUGGACUUAGAAGAUCAGGUUUGUGUUUUGGCUCUGCCACUUUGCAGCAGUAUGACCUUGUGAGAAAGCCACAUAACCUCUCUGAACCUUAGUUUCCUUGACUAUUAAAAAAUAUGUAGUACACACAGCUGCUGUGAAAAGUGAGAGGAAACGUCUAGGCCAAGUCUGGCCCAGAGUGGGAAACUUCGUUUUCUACUUCCCAUCCCUUAUUUCUUUCUUCAACUGUCAGUCUGCCAGUUUACAAUUUCUCUGUAAAUUCCUCUUUUUCUGGUAUAGAGGCUGUUAACAGGAAUUCAGGGAGUCCAGGGGCCUCUGGAAAUUGAAGAAUUUUGUAGGUGUGCAUGCACAUUUCUUCGGGAAGAGAAGGUAUAGCCCUCAUCUGAUUUUCAGAGGGGACCGUGAGUCAGUAGGGGAGAAAUGUAGCUCUCUUCUUGGAGAAUAGCUAACUAUCAAAGAUAUUAUCAUUACUGUAAUAUUUGGAUUGAUUAGGUUAAAAAAAAAUCAAUUGGAUCUCAACUACCCUUUCUUCAGGCAUUAAAGAAUUCUUCAAAAUAUUCCUAUGGCCAGAAGCCAUACUGUCAGGAGAAAAAGCAGCCAUGCCACACUAGCGGCAAAAUUAAUAUACAAAUAAAUUCAGUGCAUGGGUCUUGAAUAUUUUUAGACUUCUGAUAGCUUUAUCAAGGAUCGCUUUCAAAUAUAAGAAUAGCUUAAAACUUGUCAGGUUAGUAACUUGUCACUUAGUAAAGGUGAAUUUUGAAAGUAAGAAGGGAGUAUUAUAAGGAAUCAUAAGAUAUCAUACUGGGUUUGAUAUUGUAAAGACUGUAUUUCUACCCCUCCCCACCCCAGCUUGUUCUUUAAUUGUCCCUUUGUCUCCCCCUCCCAGAAAGCUCUUGCUUAUGCAACGAAGUCAUAAAAUUAGUUCUUUUUUUAAAUGAAUGUCUGCCUAUUUUUCUCUCUCUUUGUUUCGAAUAUUGGAUAUCUAAAGCACAAUGAUAAAAGUUUUAAAAAGCUAUUUCACUGCAAUCUAUCAUUGUAACACAUUAAUUGUUUCUCUUGGGUUUCCAGUGAGUCUUUAGUCCUUUUAGCUUACACAUUUAUAAAUGGAUAUGUACACAGCUGUAUUCUUAAACCAAAACUGUCUGAGUGAGGUGCUUUGUGUGUGGGAUCAUACUUGCUCCCUGUAGCUCUGCUCACAUGAACUACCAUUAUUAAAGUUUGGAAUCAAGUACAGACCACUUGGUAUCAUCUGAAGCCAUGUGAACCUCUGGCCAUGGGAAAGACAUUGGAACCCUUUAACUUACUCUUUACAGGCAUCAGAGCAGCUGUCAAAUGGUAAUGUGUUUUUUUCCCUCAUACUCAGGCAGGCUGGGGGCUUGGAUGCCUAGUCUCACUCCUUUCCCUAGUAACUCCUCUUUAUAAUUUCUUCCUCAGAAUGUAUUUUGAGUGUGAGCUUGGAUUCUGUAGGCCAAAGCCUGUUGCAUGGUAAAAUGAGGUUCAUGACAGAAUUAUUAAUGACAGUGGAAAAAAUAGGUGAUCAGAAGGUUCAGAAGUGGGAGAGUGUGUUCAAAUAAUGCAUUUACAAUAUUUCAAAGUUUUAGGCUGGGCACAGUGGCUCACGCCUGUAAUCCCAGCCCUUUGGGAGGCCGAGGAGGACGGAUCACGAGGUCAGGAGUUCGAAACCAGCCUGACCAACAUGGUGAAACCCCUUCUGUACUAAAAAUACAAAAAUUAGCCAGGCAUGGUGGUGUGCACCUGUAAUCCCAGCUACUCAGGAAGCUGAGGCAGGGGAAUCGCUUGAACCUGGAAGGCAGAGGUUGCAGUGAGCCAAGAUCGUGCCAUUGCACUCUAGCCUGGUGACACAGUGAGAGUCCAUCUCAAAAAAAAAAAAAAAGUAUAUAUUUUGAAGUUUUAAUAAUGUGAGAAAAUGCCCAUGAUUUAAUAUUAAGAGAAAAGUGGAUAUAAAGUUACACAGUAUAUAUAGUCUGCUCUUACAAGCAAGAACACAUACACACAAGUAUAUAUAAAGAACUGGAAAGAAAUACAGUCAUCUUUUAACUGAUUAUAUUUUGGUUGUAGGAUAUGGGUUACUUUUUUUCCUUACCCUUUUC